UACAGAGGUCCCAAGCGUUGUUCGGAUUCACUGGGCGUAAAGGGUGCGUAGGUGGUCGGGUAAGUCUGAUGUGAAAUCUCCGAGCUUAACUCGGAAAUGGCAUUGGAUACUAUUCGGCUGGAGGUUUGGAGGGGGGACUGGAAUUCUCGGUGUAGCAGUGAAAUGCGUAGAUAUCGAGAGGAACACCAGUGGCGAAGGCGAGUCCCUGGACAACACCUGACACUGAGGCACGAAAGCUAGGGGAGCAAACAG
rnacentral:rRNA from 1 species